rnacentral:rRNA from 1 species
UACGGAGGGUGCGAGCGUUGUCCGGAAUCAUUGGGCGUAAAGGGCUCGUAGGUGGCCCGGUCAGUUCGGGGUGAAAGCGCGGGGCUCAACCCUGCGUCGGCCAUGAAUACUGCCGCGGCUGGAGCACUGUAGAGGCAGGCGGAAUUCCGGGUGUAGCGGUGGAAUGCGUAGAGAUCCGGAAGAACACCGGUGGCGAAGGCGGCCUGCUGGGCAGUUGCUGACACUGAGGCGCGACAGCGUGGGGAGCAAACAGG